rnacentral:rRNA from 1 species
UACAGAGGGGGCAAGCGUUAUUCGGAAUUAUUGGGCGUAAAGGGCGCGUAGGCGGCUUGGCAAGUGGAUGGUGAAAUCCCUCGGCUUAACCGAGGAACUGCCGUCCAAACUGCUUCGCUUGAGACCGGGAGAGGUGAGUGGAAUUCCCAGUGUAGCGGUGAAAUGCGUAGAUAUUGGGAGGAACACCAGUGGCGAAGGCGGCUCACUGGACCGGUACGUGACGCUGAUGCGCGAAAGCGUGGGGAGCAAACGGG